rnacentral:rRNA from 1 species
AAGACCUUGCACUUUUGGAGCGGCCGAUGUCUGAUUAGCUAGUUGGUGGGGUAAUGGCCUACCAAAGCUUCGAUCAGUAGCUGGUCUGAGAGGACGGCCAGCCACACUGGGACUGAGACACGGCCCAGACUCCUACGGGAGGCAGCAGUGGGGAAUUUUGGACAAUGGGCGCAAGCCUGAUCCAGCCAUGCCGCGUGAGUGAAGAAGGCCUUCGGGUUGUAAAGCUCUUUCAGCCGGAACGAAACGGUUACGGUUAAUACCUGUGAUUACUGACGGUACCGGAAGAAGAAGCACCGGCUAACUACGUGCCAGCAGCCGCGGUAAUACGUAGGGUGCGAGCGUUAAUCGGAAUUACUGGGCGUAAAGCGUGCGCAGGUGGUUUUGUAAGUCAGAUGUGAAAGCCCCGGGCUCAACCUGGGAACU